GCAUUUGUAGGAAGACAAAGACAUUUUAUUUUAGUACCAGUUGAGUUAAUUUUAAUAGUGAUAUUUUGUGCAAUAUUUUUAUGUAUGAGACAAAAGUAUUUCAUACCAUGUUGAGGGGUCUCAUGAAAGGAUUUUUCUCUGAUGACUGAGAUUGAUCUGGAAUACGUUUGGAUCUAGAUUUGGAUUUUCUACAUUUCACACUUCGACAGCACCUUUUUGG